rnacentral:rRNA from 1 species
CAGUAACGGCGAGUGAAGCGGCAACAGCUCAAAUUUGAAAUCUGGCUCCUUCGGGGUCCGAAUUGUAAUUUGUAGAGAGUGCUUCGGGCGAGACCUCGGUCUAAGUCCAUUGGAACAUGGUGUCAUAGAGGGUGAGAAUCCCGUAUGCGACCGUGGCUCGAGCCCAUGUGAAGCCUCUUCGACGAGUCGAGUUGUUUGGGAAUGCAGCUCAAAAUGGGUGGUAAAUUUCAUCUAAAGCUAAAUACUGGCUGGAGACCGAUAGCGCACAAGUAGAGUGAUCGAAAGAUGAAAAGCACUUUGGAAAGAGAGUCAAACAGUACGUGAAAUUGUUGAAAGGGAAGCGCUUGCAACCAGACCUGCCCGUAGGCGAUCAGCCGCUGUUCUCAGCGGUGUACUCGCUCUGCGAUCAGGCCAGCAUCGGUUUCGGCGGUCGGAUAAAGACCUUGGGAAUGUAGCUUCCCUCCGGGGAAGUCUUAUAGCCCUCGGUGUAAUGCGGCCAGCCGGGACCGAGGACCGCGCUUCGGCUAGGAUGCUGGCGUAAUGGUUGUAAGCGACCCGUCUUGAAACACGGACCAAGGAGUCUAACAUCUAUGCGAGUGUUUGGGUGUCAAACCCAUGCGCGGAAUGAAAGUGAACGGAGGUGAGAACCCUCAAGGGCGCAUCAUCGACCGAUCCAGAUGUCUUCGGAUGGAUUUGAGUAUGAGCAUAGCUGUUGGGACCCGAAAGAUGGUGAACUAUGCCUGAAUAGGGUGAAGCCAGAGGAAACUCUGGUGGAGGCUCGCAGCGGUUCUGACGUGCAAAUCGAUCGUCAAAUUUGGGUAUAGGGGCGAAAGACUAAUC